rnacentral:lncRNA from 1 species
AGAAAAUAAGACGUGCUUCAAAUGCAAAGAUUACCAUAUGUAUCUUUUUUACAGUAGAGGGUUUAAUUUUUAAAAUGAAUUUGCCAAAAGACAUGCAAAUGAACAGGAAGGGAAAACAUGCUACAAAAGCGCGAUAAAAUGACACCUUACAAGCAUAAUGAAAAAAAUGCGGUGCACAGCCUUCAACUGCUCGACAAAAGAUUUUUUGUUUGUUUCUGGGAUUCCUUUUAAUGACAUAUAAUAAAUACACAUUUUUAAAAAUGCCAAAAAAUUGCAUGUACACCCAUUGAUAUUAUAUCGUCUUUCA